rnacentral:lncRNA from 1 species
CUUUCAUUUCAAUUCUGGAAUCUGGAUAGAGAGGUCGUUGCAAAGAGAAUUAGGGGAAAGAGGGAGUCGAUCACCCUCCUACAGCCUCCCUCAACUGUGCUUUUUUAGGAUCAUAUGGAGGUUAACUAUUUGAUCAACAAACAAGGAAAACUGUGCAACAAAAGGUAUAGAAAAAUUGGUGGUACACAACAAUGGCACUUCUACAAUCGGAUUUGUUCAUUUUGCUCAAAGAUCAAUAAGUGGCAAAACUUUAUUUAGCAUGCAGUUUGACAUAUUAAUCUUUAUUAAUGGGCAUAUAGUUAUCCUCUUUCUUUUAAUGGACAUGUCAUUGAAGAUAUAUAAAAGGGAAUCUAAAUGUUAAUUCUAGGGCGAUACUGGCAAACGCUAUAACUAACAAAAGGAGUCACGAGUCAUGAUUUCCUAGCAUCGAUUUAUGAUUUUUAUACGCGAGUUCAUGGAGGUGGUGCAAUGGUUUGGAGGAUACUGAGAGGAACUUUUGUCAGGCGUUAUAGAAGACAUUGCCUGUAGAUGAGCUGUUUUAUCCAAAGGAGCAUUUUUCUUUGUUGGAACCGAGCAAAAGCGAGACCAUAAACAUGGUAAAUAUAAAAAAAAAGCAGUAACCGAUGCAACUGCUGUAAGCGUUUCCUUAUAACUAUAGCUUUAAAUUAUACGCAGAGAGGUGCUUCAAUUUAACUCAGAUUACUCAUUUAAAAUACAAUUGCUCUAUUGCUCUACACGGCUCUGAGGUAGCCUUGCUAUUAUAGCAUGUCAAAAUGUUACAUGUGUAUUAAUGAUAAGUCUUGAA